GACGAACGCUGGCGGCGUGCUUAACACAUGCAAGUCGAACGGAAAGGCUCCAGCUUGCUGGAGUGCUCGAGUGGCGAACGGGUGAGUAACACGUGGGCAAUCUGCCCUGCACUCUGGGACAAGCCUGCGAAACUGGGUCUAAUACCGGAUAGGACCUUUCCCCUCAUGGGGUUUGGUGGAACGUUAUUCGGUGCAGGAUGAGCCCGCGGCCUCUCAGCUUUGUGGUGGGGUAAUGGCCUACCAAGGCGACGACGGGUAGCCGGCCUGAGAGGGUGAUCGGCCACAUUGGGACUGAGGUACGGCCCAGACUCCUACGGGGGGCAGCAGGGGGGAAUAUUGCACAAUGGGCGGAAGCCUGAUGCAGCGACGCCGCGUGGGGGAUGACGGCCUUCGGGUUGUAAACCCCUUUCAGUAGGGACGAAGCGCAAGUGACGGUACCUGAAGAAGAAGCCCCGGCUAACUACGUG
rnacentral:rRNA from 1 species